AAUCGCGUUCACUGUGCGAACAUUUGCUUCUUGUGAAACACCACCAAUCAAUAACACGAAUACACGAUAUACCUAGCUGUACUAUUCUGAUUCUAGUGAUGCGCGACCGGAGUGGUCGCACAGUUCAAUGACGGAUUUCCUACAAUACAAAAUUUGACGCAAGAAACGCGCGGCGAGUUUUUUGUUCACCAUUCAUUCGUGCGCGUUUGACCUGUUUACUAGUGUUUUGUAUUUGUAUAUUUGAUACUGGGGGGGUUUUUUCAAAAGGUCAUUGUCCGAUUUUAAUGAUUUAUUAGAUGUCCCAUCUAAUUUACUAAUUAAUACAUUUGCAAUAGCCAAACCCAAAC